GGCCUUUUGAUUAUAAUUUAAGGUCUGACCUGCCCAAUGAGAAUUUUAAUGGCCGCGGUAUACUAACCGUGCAAAGGUAGCAUAAUCAUUAGUUUUUUAAUUGAAAGCUGGAAUGAAGGGUUUGAUGAAAAAAGUUCUGUCUUUACUUGAAUUUAUUAAAAUUUUAUUUUUAAGUUAAAAAGCUUAAAUAUUUAUUGAAGACGAGAAGACCCUAUAGAGUUUUAUAUUUUUAUAAUUUAUUGUAUUUGGUAAUUUUAAUUUAAUUUUUAAAAGUAUUUAGUUGGGGUGACUGAAAAACUAGAGAAACUUUUUUUUUACCAAACAUUAAUUUCUGGGUGGAUGAUCCUUUUUUUAGAUUAAAAGAAAAAAUUACCUUAGGGAUAACAGCGUAAUUUUUUUUAGAGUUCUUAUCAAAAAGAAAGAUUGCGACCUCGAUGUUGGAUUAAAAUAAGUUUUCGGUGCAAAAGCUGAAAAACUAGGUCUGUUCGACCUUUAAAUUUUUACAUGAUCUGAGUUUAGACCGGUUUAAG
rnacentral:rRNA from 1 species